GCCUCAGUUCGGGUGAGAUACCCCCAU
rnacentral:rRNA from 1 species